CCUACGGGCGGCAGCAGUGAGGAAUAUUGGUCAAUGGGCGCGAGCCUGAACCAGCCACGUAGCGUGAAGGAUGACUGCCCUACGGGUUGUAAACUUCUUUUAUAAAGGAGUAAAGUGAGGCACGUGUGCCUUUUUGUAUGUACUUUUUGAAUAAGGAUCGGCUAACUCCGUGCCAGCAGCCGCGGUAACUCGGAAGAGCCGAGCGUUAUCCGGAUUUGUUGGGUUUAAAGGGAGCGUAGAUGGGUUGUUAAGUCAGGGGUGAAAGUUUGCGGCUCAACCGUAAAAUUGCAAUUGAUACUGGCAGCCUUGAGUACAGUUGAGGUAGGCGGAAUUCGUGGUGUAGCGGUGAAAUGCUUAGAUAUCACGAAGAACUCCGAUUGCGAAGGCAGCUUACUAAACUGCCACUGACAUUGAUGCUCGAAAGUGUGGGUAUCAAACAGGAUUAGAUACCCCAGUAGUC
rnacentral:rRNA from 1 species